rnacentral:lncRNA from 1 species
GCCUGACGAAGUCCGAAAGUCCAUAGGUUCAAAGUCUCUGGGUCUUUUGGGUUCUGCUAAGGCCUCUGCCCGACACGGGGUGCUGCUCUUGGAAGCCUGGAAGCUUCUGUGUGGGAAUUACUAUGGAGAUGUCCCGGGCUGCCCAGGCUGGAGCUGUUUGUGCCACAUUCAUGUGCUGCGCCCUUCCCCCAAGUGCACCACUGUGCCAGGCAGGCAGCUCUGCUCCCCCUGACCUUGGGCAUCAGCACUCUCCCUUCUCCCCCCACCAACCCUGUGCUCAGCUCAGGCCACACCUUUCUGCUUGUGGGGCCAGGAGACCCCAGCUGCACCCACUCCCACCAGCUGUGUGGGUGCUGGGUCCGUCAAUCCAGGGCCCGGGGCUGGGUGGGCAGCAAGGGUAAGCCCACUGCAACUGCUUGCUCCAGCCCCUGUUGGUUCAGGGACCCACUCAGGGCAGACUCAGCCUGUAAGGUGUCAGACAACCUCACCUACUUGUGCCUACAUCCCCAGUGCUGCACCCAGGCUGUUCAGGGCGCCCCCUUCUGGGAGUCUGCAUUCAGGACAGAGCCCAGCUCCCCCUCCCUCCCUCCUCAUACAGGAAGGAUGGUGGGAUCAGGGCACCCUGGUGUCUGAUUCGUCAUCUGGAUCUGCCAGCAUCCUAGGGGGCCUGGGGGGGGGGCAUGGGCAGAACCAGCAGCACCAAGGACAGCGGCAUGCUGGGCUUCAAAUGGAACAAGCUAUUCUUGGGACCAGGGGCAGGGUGACCACUACUGUCCUUGGGAAUUAAACUUUGUCCUCAUCCAGUGCUCCCAGGCCCUGAAGACCACCAGCCCUCAUGGAAUCACAGAAGGCUUGCUCCUUAGAGAGCGAAAUAUACACACCCUCAUUUACAGGACAGGACACUGAGGCCCCAGGAGAGACAGUGACUUUGUCCAGAGUGACUCUUCCAGCCACACUGACACCCAGGUUUGGAAGGCUCCCCACCACCCACCUGUGCACCUGAAGAGCUAAGGGGAGAGAGAGAGAGGUCUAAAUGGUGAGUAGGGGGGGGGUCUCCAGAGGAGCCCAGGAGCCAUGAAGGGAAGAGCCUGGCUACUCAUCUCAGCACCAAGGUCUCUGAUGUUGGCUUACUGAAGACUAAAUGUGA